GUGAGGAAUUUUCCGCAAUGGGCGAAAGCCUGACGGAGCAAUGCCGCGUGAAGAAUGAAGGCCUAUGGGUUGUAAACUUCUUUUCUCAGAAAAGAAUUAUGACGGUAUCUGAGGAAUAAGCAUCGGCUAACUCUGUGCCAGCAGCCGCGGUAAGACAGAGGAUGCAAGCGUUAUCCGGAAUGAUUGGGCGUAAAGCGUCUGUAGGUUGUUUAAAAAGUAUUCUGUCAAAGAUUAGGGCUUAACCCUAGAUAGGCAGAAUAAACUUUUAAGCUAGAGUUUGGUAGAGGCAGAGAGAAUUCCCGGUGGAGCGGUGAAAUGCGUAGAUAUCGGGAGGAACACCAAAGGCGAAGGCACUCUGCUGGGCCAAUACUAACACUGAGAGACGAAAGCGAGGGGAGCAAAUGGGAUUAGAAACCCCAGUAGUCC
rnacentral:rRNA from 1 species